rnacentral:rRNA from 1 species
UACGUAGGGUGCGAGCGUUGCCCGGAUUUAUUGGGCGUAAAGGGUGCGUAGGCGGUUCGUUAAGUCUGUUGUGAAAUCCCCGGGCUCAACCUGGGAAUGGCAAUGGAUACUGGCGAGCUAGAGUGUGAUAGAGGAUGGUGGAAUUCCCGGUGUAGCGGUGAAAUGCGUAGAGAUCGGGAGGAACAUCAGUGGCGAAGGCGGCCAUCUGGAUCAACACUGACGCUGAAGCACGAAAGCGUGGGGAGCAAACAGG